GAUGAACGCUGGCGGCGUGCCUAAUACAUGCAAGUCGAGCGAACGGACGAGAAGCUUGCUUUUCUGAUGUUAGCGGCGGACGGGUGAGUAACACGUGGAUAACCUACCUAUAAGACUGGGAUAACUUCGGGAAACCGGAGCUAAUACCGGAUAAUAUUUUGAACCGCAUGGUUCAAAAGUGAAAGACGGUCUUGCUGUCACUUAUAGAUGGAUCCGCGCUGCAUUAGCUAGUUGGUAAGGUAACGGCUUACCAAGGCAACGAUGCAUAGCCGACCUGAGAGGGUGAUCGGCCACACUGGAACUGAGACACGGUCCAGACUCCUACGGGAGGCAGCAGUAGGGAAUCUUCCGCAAUGGGCGAAAGCCUGACGGAGCAACGCCGCGUGAGUGAUGAAGGUCUUCGGAUCGUAAAACUCUGUUAUUAGGGAAGAACAUAUGUGUAAGUAACUGUGCACAUCUUGACGGUACCUAAUCAGAAAGCCACGGCUAACUACGUGCCAGCAGCCGCGGUAAUACGUAGGUGGCAAGCGUUAUCCGGAAUUAUUGGGCGUAAAGCGCGCGUAGGCGGUUUUUUAAGUCUGAUGUGAAAGCCCACGGCUCAACCGUGGAGGGUCAUUGGAAACUGGAAAACUUGAGUGCAGAAGAGGAAAGUGGAAUUCCAUGUGUAGCGGUGAAAUGCGCAGAGAUGUGGAGGAACACCAGUGGCGAAGGCGACUUUCUGGUCUGUAACUGACGCUGAUGUGCGAAAGCGUGGGGAUCAAACAGGAUUAGAUACCCUGGUAGUCCACGCCGUAAACGAUGAGUGCUAAGUGUUAGGGGGUUUCCGCCCCUUAGUGCUGCAGCUAACGCAUUAAGCACUCCGCCUGGGGAGUACGACCGCAAGGUUGAAACUCAAAGGAAUUGACGGGGGCCCGCACAAGCGGUGGAGCAUGUGGUUUAAUUCGAAGCAACGCGAAGAACCUUACCAAAUCUUGACAUCCUUUGACAACUCUAGAGAUAGAGCCUUCCCCUUCGGGGGACAAAGUGACAGGUGGUGCAUGGUUGUCGUCAGCUCGUGUCGUGAGAUGUUGGGUUAAGUCCCGCAACGAGCGCAACCCUUAAGCUUAGUUGCCAUCAUUAAGUUGGGCACUCUAAGUUGACUGCCGGUGACAAACCGGAGGAAGAUGGGGAUGACGUCAAAUCAUCAUGCCCCUUAUGAUUUGGGCUACACACGUGCUACAAUGGACAAUACAAAGGGCAGCGAAACCGCGAGGUCAAGCAAAUCCCAUAAAGUUGUUCUCAGUUCGGAUUGUAGUCUGCAACUCGACUACAUGAAGCUGGAAUCGCUAGUAAUCGUAGAUCAGCAUGCUACGGUGAAUACGUUCCCGGGUCU
rnacentral:rRNA from 1 species